CUUCAUUUACUCUCGACUGAGUGAACUCGGAGCAAGCCAGUUCCUCCUCCAAAACCUGUAAACCUGUGAAAAUGUACUAAGAGAGGCGUUCGACUAUGGUGGUGGCAGUCUUAGAUUGUUGUUUUCCUGACGAUUGGGUUCACGGCGGAUUUUGAUCAUACAGUGAGGAGGUAGACCACUUUCACCCUCCCUCAAGCUUUGGAGUGAUGACAACUUAACAUGCUUUUGAUGUCUCAAACAAUCAAAUCGAUGAAUAAGCAAUUU